GGGGAUAUGGCGAAAUUAGACGCUACGGACUUAAAAUCCGUCGACUUUAAAAAUCGUGAGGGUUCAAGUCCCUCUAUCCCC
rnacentral:tRNA from 33 species